GGGGGUGCCCCGGUUUCGACUGACGCGAUCCGGGUCGUGGGUCGCAGGUGGAGCGUCGAUGUCCUUACAUUCGGCAAAACCUUUAACUGCCAACAACGACAGUUACGCCCUCGCCGCGUAAGCGGUAGGACGCGGAAGCCGGCUGCGCCGCCUCGAGCGGCCGUAACUUCCGACGCGAUCGAGGCUGGCCGUGUCCCGCGCCGGGACGGGACGCGGCAAGAAAACUCCCGGAUACGGAGACGCCGCGUGCCGCGAAGCCAAGCGUCUCCCGACAAUCCGAUGCGCGGCUAAACCUGUAGACGCCCACGGCGCGCGCGCCAGGACGCGGGUUCAACUCCCGCCACCUCCAUUG
rnacentral:tmRNA from 1 species